GACGAACGCUGGCGGCGUGCUUAACACAUGCAAGUCGAACGGAAAGGCCCUGCUUUUGUGGGGUGCUCGAGUGGCGUACGGGUGAGUAACACGUGAGUAACCUGCCCUUGACUUUGGGAUAACUUCAGGAAACUGGGGCUAAUACCGGAUAGGAGCUCCUGCUGCAUGGUGGGGGUUGGAAAGUUUCGGCGGUUGGGGAUGGACUCGCGGCUUAUCAGCUUGUUGGUGGGGUAGUGGCUUACCAAGGCUUUGACGGGUAGCCGGCCUGAGAGGGUGACCGGCCACAUUGGGACUGAGAUACGGCCCAGACUCCUACGGGAGGCAGCAGUGGGGAAUAUUGCGCAAUGGGCGGAAGCCUGAUGCAGCAACGCCGCGUGCGGGAUGACGGCCUUCGGGUUGUAAACCGCUUUCGCCUGUGACGAAGCGUGAGUGACGGUAAUGGGUAAAGAAGCACCGGCUAACUACGUG
rnacentral:rRNA from 1 species